UUAAGUUCAGCGGGUAGUCCUACCUGAUUUGAGGUCAGAUUUCAAAGUCGAGCUUUGAUGACCGCCACCCCAUGGGCAAGGUCUAGGAGGGACGCAAAAAGUGGAGAACGUCUCGGGGAGAGCGAGGAUGGUACAACGCCCAGUCGAGUUCGACCCACAGGUCCAACCGAAGCAUUUGAGGGGAGCAGCCUCGCGGCAGC
rnacentral:misc_RNA from 1 species